rnacentral:rRNA from 1 species
AGCUUGCUCUCUGGGUGGCGAGUGGCGGACGGGUGAGGAAUACAUCGGAAUCUACUCUGUCGUGGGGGAUAACGUAGGGAAACUUACGCUAAUACCGCAUACGACCUACGGGUGAAAGCAGGGGAUCUUCGGACCUUGCGCGAUUGAAUGAGCCGAUGUCGGAUUAGCUAGUUGGCGGGGUAAAGGCCCACCAAGGCGACGAUCCGUAGCUGGUCUGAGAGGAUGAUCAGCCACACUGGAACUGAGACACGGUCCAGACUCCUACGGGAGGCAGCAGUGGGGAAUAUUGGACAAUGGGCGCAAGCCUGAUCCAGCCAUACCGCGUGGGUGAAGAAGGCCUUCGGGUUGUAAAGCCCUUUUGUUGGGAAAGAAAUCCAGCUGGCUAAUACCUGGUUGGGAUGACGGUACCCAAAGAAUAAGCACCGGCUAACUUCGUGCCAGCAGCCGCGGUAAUACGAAGGGUGCAAGCGUUACUCGGAAUUACUGGGCGUAAAGCGUGCGUAGGUGGUCGUUUAAGUCCGUUGUGAAAGCCCUGGGCUCAACCUGGGAACUGCAGUGG